ACUGUUUGCACGGAGCCUUUACCAAAAGAUUGUGUGCCUAGCAAAAUUGCACGCUUAUGAUCUUGUAAAGCACCAGCGACAAUCUCAGAAGCAGAGGCUGAGCCGCCAUUAAUAAGGACGACAAUCGGUAAGCCAUCAGCCAAAUCACCUGAGCUUGCAUUAUCACGCUUAGUAUCUUGUGAGUGGCGUCCACGUGUGGAUACGAUCUCGCCUUUAUCAAGGAAUAUAUCAGAAACACCAAUCGCUUGAUCAAGCAAGCCACCUGGAUUGUUUCUUA
rnacentral:ncRNA from 1 species